AUACGUAGGUGGCGAGCGUUGUCCGGAUUUACUGGGCGUAAAGGAUGCGUAGGCGGAUGUUUAAGUGAGAUGUGAAAUACCCGGGCUUAACUUGGGUGCUGCAUUUCAAACUGGAUAUCUAGAGUGCGGGAGAGGAGAAUGGAAUUCCUAGUGUAGCGGUGAAAUGCGUAGAGAUUAGGAAGAACACCAGUGGCGAAGGCGAUUCUCUGGACCGUAACUGACGCUGAGGCAUGAAAGCGUGGGUAGCAAACAGGAUUAGAUACCCUGGUAGCCCACGCCGUAAACGAUGAAUACUAGGUGUAGGAGGUAUCGACCCCUUCUGUGCCGCAGUUAACACAAUAAGUAUUCCGCCUGGGAAGUACGAUCGCAAGAUUAAA
rnacentral:rRNA from 1 species